UGAAAUCAGCUGGGUCACUGAUCAAUGAUUAACAGCUGGGGCUGGGCUGGGGGGGAACUGGGUGUCUGGUAUUUAUACGCUGCUGGCCGUGGAGAAAUGCAAUUUCCGUUACAGCAUUCAACGCAACAGUAGCAGCGGAACAGCGGACGAUGGCGCUUGAAAUCCACAACGUUGAAAUGAAGGUGGGAGAUACCUUGAAGAUUAAAGGGAAGGUUUCAGAUGAAGCUGACAGGUUUACGGUGAAUCUGGGCAGCGCCGCUGACCACAUCGGCCUGCACUUCCAGCCCCGCUUCCACGACAGUGUGGAUGGAGCGGUCAUCGUCUGUAACUCCAAGUGUGCAAGCGGCUGGGACAGUGAGCAGCGAGAACAUGACUUCCCCUUCAGCAAGGGAGACAAGUUCAAAAUGAGCAUAACAUUCAAGGGCGAUGUCUUUGCGAUUAAGCUCCCCAAUGAUGCCGUGAUCGAGUUCCCCAACCGCUUGUCCCUGGAGACGGUCACCUUUGUCUCGGUGGCCGGAGACUUCAAGUUGGUCUCGUUCGGCUGCAGAUGAGAGGCUUUGAGAUGAAGGGUCAAACGCAGGCACUGAAGAGAAAAUGGCCCCGUCUGCUCGAGGCAGAUGCUACAAUAGUUGAAUUGGCUCUGGGAUUCUUGAUUUGAGUCCAGCCCUUCUAAGUAACCCUUCAGAUGAGAAUGCACAAAAUUUAAUUUGAUCACUUGUGGUCAGAAAGAUCUCUGAUCAGUUGUAAUUGUUCACUUUACCUGCCCAAGAAUAAAAAGUGUGGUCUAAUGGUU